GAUGAAGAACGUAGUGAAAUGCGAUAAGUAGUGUGAAUUGCAGAAUUCAGUGAAUCAUCGAAUCUUUGAACGCACAUUGCGCCUCCUGGUAUUCCGGGAGGUAUGCCUGUUCGAGCGUCAUUAAAAUCACUCAAGCUUAGGUUUACCUAUUGCUUGGUCUUGGAGAUGGAAGCCAAUUUAUUGGAAUCCUCUUCGAAAUUCAAUGGCGAAGACCCUUGCUCUCCCAAGUGUAGUAAUAACUUAUGUCACUGAAGGAAGCGAGAAAUCUUCUGCCGUAACCCCCAUAUUUUCUAUGAUUGACCUCGGAUCAGGUAGGGAUACCCGCUGAACUUAAGCAUAUCAAUAAGCGGAGGA
rnacentral:misc_RNA from 1 species